CGCUGGCGGCGUGCCUAACACAUGCAAGUCGAACGGAGCACUUCGGUGCUUAGUGGCGAACGGGUGAGUAACGCGUGAGAAACCUGCCUUUCAGUGGGGGACAACAGUUGGAAACGACUGCUAAUACCGCAUAAUGUUAUUUGGGGGCAUCCCUGGAUAACCAAAGAUUUAUUGCUGAAAGAUGGUCUCGCGUCUGAUUAGCUAGUUGGUGAGGUAACGGCUCACCAAGGCGACGAUCAGUAGCCGGUCUGAGAGGAUGAACGGCCACAUUGGGACUGAGAUACGGCCCAGACUCCUACGGGAGGCAGCAGUGGGGAAUAUUGGGCAAUGGGGGAAACCCUGACCCAGCAACGCCGCGUGAAGGAAGAAGGCCUUCGGGUUGUAAACUUCUUUUACCAGGGACGAACAAAAUGACGGUACCUGGAGAAAAAGCAACGGCUAACUACGUG
rnacentral:rRNA from 1 species